rnacentral:rRNA from 1 species
AUUGAACGCUGGCGGCAUGCUUUACACAUGCAAGUCGAACGGUAACAGGCCGCAAGGUGCUGACGAGUGGCGGACGGGUGCGUAAUGCAUCGGAACGUGCCCAGUCGUGGGGGGUAACUACUCGAAAGAGGAGCUAAUACCGCAUACGAUCUAUGGAUGAAAGCGGGGGACCGUAAGGCCUCGCGCGAUUGGAGCGGCCGAUGUCAGAUUAGGUAGUUGGUGGGGUAAAGGCUCACCAAGCCAACGAUCUGUAGCUGGUCUGAGAGGACGACCAGCCACACUGGGACUGAGACACGGCCCAGACUCCUACGGGAGGCAGCAGUGGGGAAUUUUGGACAAUGGGCGCAAGCCUGAUCCAGCAAUGCCGCGUGCAGGAAGAAGGCCUUCGGGUUGUAAACUGCUUUUGUACGGAACGAAACGGCUCUGGUUAAUACCCGGGGCUAAUGACGGUACCGUAAGAAUAAGCACCGGCUAACUACGUG